CUUUAUCUCCGCCGGACUCGGGGUACCUGCCGGAUUCGAGGUAACCGCCAGCUGGUGUGGGGCUGGUUUCCCCAACAUCUGGUGGCCAACGCGGGGCUCCCCAUAAUCUCUACAAAUAAUCCAGUGAAGGAACGCCAGAGCGUGCAAAGUGGAGGACGACUGACAAAGGACACCUGAAUAUGUUUUCACUUCAAGCUCUACAGGAGGACAAGGACUCAGGGGUCUGCUGGUCCAUCUCUGCACCUUGAAACAGCAGCUGGGGCACCAGAAGUAACCCUUACAGCCAACACCAUGUGAUGAUGAGGAGGAGUCCAUCUGGGUUAAAGAGCCCACGUGUGAGCCAAGGCAGGAAACCCCGGGAUCCAGAAAGCCUUCUGUUUUUGCGAUGCUGCCUGGGAUCGGAGCCGCACAACCUGUCCUCAUUGCUCUCUCCGGAGGCCGGGCAGGAACCUCUGCCAAAGCUUCUACCUCAGCCGCUGGCAGGCCAUGCGGCCUGGGGCAUUCACGGAGUUCCAACGAGUCUGUUACUGGCUGGGGAGUGCUGGGGCCAGGGCAUGGCCGUGCCCGCUGAUCCUCCUCCUGCCUCUCCAUAUCGGACUUCUCCUCGACCACCACCUGGACCACUGCCACGAUAUCGUCCACAGCAGCACCUUCUCCUCCCCCUAGGGCGCCUCCACGCUCUGUGCCCUGGCUGUCCUCUCCAGCAGAGCCUCCAAUUUGAACGGGGUACACUGUCCGCUCCACGUCUGUGGUCAUGGAUGAAGCUGGAAACCAUCAUACUAAGCAAACUAUCACAAGGACAGAAAACCAAACACCGCAUGUUCUCACUGAUAAGUGAGAGUUGAACAAUGAGAACACAUGGACACAGGGCAGGGAACAUCACCCACCGAGGCCGGUCGCGGGGGUGGGGGGUUGAGGGAGGGAUAGCAUUUGGAGAAAUACCUAAUGUAAAUGACGAGUUGAUAGGGGCAGCAAACAAACAUGGAACAUGUAUCCCUAUGUUACAAACCUGCACGUUGUGUACAUGUACCCUAGAACUUACAGGAUAAUAAAACAAAAAAAAAAAAAAAGAAAAAAAAAACCUUAAAAUUAAAAAUAGCUCUCCAAACCCAAAUACUAAAUAGAAAAUGAGAAUCAAGUGGCCUAGAAUGUAACUUAAAUGAAAAUGUCACAAACAUUCAGCAGAUAGUUUCUAAAUGCCACAAUAAGCCUGGCAGUCUGCAAGAAGCUCAGAAAAACACUGUUUCCUUGCUAUUUUGAGUGUGCAGUAGAAACAGGUACAGAGAUAAAUGAGGAAUAGUAAGUGUGAUAACUGCUGUAAUAGGCAAAUACAGGCAAUAUAACUGCAAAUAAGGGCAACGAUUUUGAUAAGCAAAACAUUAAUAAAAGAUGAAACAUUAAAAAAAGACUCAUGAUUUUAAUAAACAUUGCCUUCUUCACUCCAGAAGAAAACUCAUGCCUCUGCUUUACUGGUUGACAUGUUCUUAAAGAGAUGUAACAGCUCUGAUUUCUGUUACUAAAUCACAUUUUCGUCACUUAUGAAACACAAGUUUAAAAUUCCUUUUGAAGGUCAAAUGAGAAUAUUUGCUGUUACUGGAUGAACUGUCAAGUGCUACCCAAAUAUUAUUUUCUCACAGGGAUUGAUAUCAUGUGUAUGUCAUAUGGUCAAUGUAGCAUUCUCAUAAAGGAAACCUUGAAAUGUGUCUGCUGCUCAUUUUUGAUUUUUCAGCUGUUUCGGUCAUUGUUAUUUAUCAUAUGCUUCCUAGGGGCUUUUGAAUUUUAAUCAGAAUAUGUAAAAACCGAAAAGAGAAGGACAAUGAAAUUGCAAGACUACAGUCAUAAUAAUUUCAUUGAUUAAUUCAAUUGUUUAUAGAGCAAGAUUACAUUAUAUUUCUCCCAAAAGAUUCUUGGAGAAAUUCUAAGAUGAUGCACCCAGUGUUUGAAAUGGCUGUAAAGUUGUUGCUUAAGUUAGAGCUAACUCUUUUUAGAGCAUGAAGAUACAUUAAUAGUUUCAUGUAUUAAAACAGAGAAAAUAGGAUUUUUAGUGCUAGUUGCUCUCACCAGAAAUAAUCAUAGCUUUUAAACUGUUCUUUAUGUCAAAAUAAACUUUUCAUUUUCCUACCUCA